GAUGAACGCUAGCGACAGGCCUAACACAUGCAAGUCGAGCGGGAUCCACCUUCGGGUGGUGAGAGCGGCGCACGGGUGAGUAACGCGUAUGUAACCUGCCUACAACAGGGGGAUAGCUCUCGGAAACGGGAAUUAACACCGCAUAAGACCACGCUUUCGCAUGGGAGCGCGGUAAAAUCUGAGGAGGUUGUAGAUGGGCAUGCGUGACAUUAGGUAGUUGGUAGGGUAACGGCCUACCAAGCCAACGAUGUCUAGGGGUUCUGAGAGGAAGGUCCCCCACACUGGUACUGAGACACGGACCAGACUCCUACGGGAGGCAGCAGUGAGGAAUAUUGGUCAAUGGACGCAAGUCUGAACCAGCCAUGUCGCGUGCAGGAAGACGGCCCCUAUGGGUUGUAAACUGCUUUUUGUACGGGAAGAAAGUUAGCUACGUGUAGCUAUUUGCCGGUACCGUACGAAUAAGGAUCGGCUAAACUCCGUGCCAGCAGCCGCGGUAAU
rnacentral:rRNA from 1 species